UGCAAGUUUGAUACUGUAUACUAGAGGUUAAAGGGGCAGUGUCCUGUUUAUUGUAAGCACUGUGUGAUACUACAUAUUAGAAGUUAAAGGGGCAGUGUCCUGUGUAUUGUACAUGUGUGCUACUUUGUAUUAAGAGUUAAAAGGGCAGUGUCCUGUGUAUUGUAAAUGUGUGUGUUACUCUAUAUCAGUAGUUAAAGGGGCAGUGUACUGUGUAUUGAACGUGUGUUACUCUGUAUCAGUAGUUAAAGGGGCAGUGUCCUGGGUAUUGAACAUGUGUGUUACUCUGUAUCAGUAGUUAAAUGGGGCAGUGUCCUGUGUAUUGAACAUGUGUGUUACUCUGUAUCAGUAGUUAAAGGGGCAGUGUCCUGUGUAUUGAACAUGUGUGUUACUCUGUAUCAGUAGUUAAAGGGGCAGUGUCCUGUGUAUUGAACAUGGGUGUUACUCUGUAUCAGUAGUUAAAGGGGCAGUGGUGUCCUGUGUAUUGAACAUGUGUGUUACUUUGUAUUAGGAGUUAAAGGGGCAGUGUCCUGUGUAUUGUACAUGUGUGUUACUUUGUAUUAGGAGUAGAAGGGGCAGUGUCUUGUGUGUAGAGCAGGAGAUAAGAGAGCAGUGAUUAGGUGAGGAGGGAGGAGUGUCAUGUGACAAACACAAACUUUGAGCAGACACAUUGACAAAGUGUGAAGUUGAAUAAACACAGAAGAGGUUCUGAGGGUACGUGUGUAUUGAGAGCUGUGGGAUUUCGUGAGCGAGAUACACUUUGUGUGCUUUCGAGUUAAACUUUACGGACCGCAGAUAAACAGAGCCAAAGGAUGGGCGUGAAGGUGUUGCAGUGUUUUCCUUGGUCCUGGAGAAAAAAGGAGCGAAAAAGGAAACAGAGUGAAGAAACUGCUCCUCAAGCUCCCCCUCCAGAGAAGCCAAAACUCCAGUCCACCUCAUCAGUGACCAGUGAUACGGACUCACAUCAGAAAAGUGCUUACUUCAGCGGGAAAGCCAGAGUGUCCUUUCGUCACCAGAUGGAUUCAACCAUGUUCACCAAUGACUCGACCUUCUGAGCUGUACUAGAGAAGUGAAUAUUACAAGAGCAAGAUAUGGACAACAUCUUCUCAUAUUGAAAGAAGCGUAGUGAGAACUGUUACUGUUUUUGGAGCCAAACUAACAAAAAUAAUGGCUGUACAUGAGCCUUAGACAUAGACGGACAUCGUGUUUUAUUCCCCCCCCCCCCCCCAUUCCUUGAUAACACAAUAUGUAGAUAAGAGGUCUAUUGUUGAUUACUUGGCCGACCUGCUAGGGUGGUUUCUCUGUUAAUAAAGCUGACGCAGGAAAGUGAGGAGUGUGCCAUGUUAGUACACAUAUGUACCAAGUAUAUAUCCAGACUGGGCCAUUUCCCCUGUUUACAAUGAAUGCCAAGAAAGCAGCGUAUUCAGAACCAUUCCAACCACAGCUGGUUGGCACAGGAACCUAGACUAGAUAAUUGUAUCCUUUCUUUAUGUUGGACUUUGUAAUGUUUAUCAGAGUUGCUUUGCACCUUGAAAUAUCCAAUCGCCUGCUUUAUAUUUACAUUUUUCAGUGAAUUGAGUAGACAUGCUCCCACACACUGCGUUCCUAUCUAGGAGAGGGCUUGUACACCAUAUAUGAGGCCUUAUGGGACAUAUCUCCUUAUAUCUUAUUAUAUAGUUUCAUAUAUUGUUUUAAUUUCCUAAAUCACCUACAGCUAUGUGUACAAAUGGAAGAUAAUCAGUAUUGGCUAAAGGGUCCGGGUCUUAUAAAGAUUAUCUUUGUAACAAAUUCAGGCCUUGGCCACUCACAUAUAAAGGCUUACAGGGAACACCGGCGAAGGGCAAUAGAAAUGGAUGGAUCCCAAAAGUAUCACUCCAAAAACUCACUAACUCCGUAGCAACUUGGGAAACGUAUGAAAGUUUGACAAAACUAUUAUGGAGGUCACACAAGUGUCAUUGCCACCAAGUGGUCACAUUCAGUAUUGCAGCAACCUUCCAUGGUCAGAUAAUAUUAUAGACGUCACCUCCAAUGUUUAGGUGUUGUAGUGGCCCCCAGUGGACAGAUUAAAUAUUGCAUUCUAGAUCUGCAUUUGAAACACGUUAGUAGGCUGGGGACAGUAUUUUGGGAUGUCUGUGUUGCAAAGUUAGGUUCAGCAUUUUAGGUUAUAGCUCAGGAAAUACUUGUUAAUCUUGCGUGGUUAUUAACUAAGCUGUGAAUUGUUGGAUAUUGACCAGGGAAUUCAGGAAUGAAAUAAAGGAAAAUAUAUCUUGAACAACUUUUCUUUCAUAUGGGAUAGUUUGGUAUAAUAUCUGAAAUUCCUUGGUCAGUUCCAGACUGUUGGUUAUUUAGGGAGAAACCCUGUGGGUUUCAUUCUUCUAAACUUAGAAUCGUGGUGAAUUGAAAACCAAACUGAUAAAAAGCUAAAAUAGGAAAAGUCAGAAAACGGCUAAACUGAUGAAUUCUCGCAACGUAUCUAUUCUAGACUAAAUCGCGCAAUAUGGGUUUCAGUUCAACACAAUAUAUGAACACGUUAAAGAACAUUAUUUGAGUUGCAAUAAUUAUCUGUUAAUGACAUGUAGUUUUACUGACAGUUUUUGUUUUAAUGUACACACUGUAGUUUGGCAUUUACGGAUACUUUUAUUCUUGUAUAAAUAUAUAUCACUAUAUAUAAUGUUCAUGUUUUAUACACACACGGAAACACUGUUUACUAAAUGGAGUAUAUUUUAAAUAUUGUUCUUCCAAUAAAACCUAUUAUAUGAAAUGUA